GUUGAUCUAGCCUAGUGGUUAGGGUGAUGCAAUUCACCGUAGCCCAUCAGGGUUCAAAUCCCUGAGCAGCA